UUCCGGUUGAUCCCGCCGGACCCCACUGCUAUCGAGGUGGGACUUAGCCAUGCUAGUCGAACGAACAGAACUAUGUCUGUAAGUGGCAUACUGCUCAGUAACACGUAGCUAACCUACCCUUAGGACGUCGAUAACCCCGAGAAAUUGGGGCUAAUAGGCGAUAGAUGUAUUGUCCUGGAAUGGUAAUAUGUCCAAAGGUAUCCCAUACAUGUUUGGUAUACGCCUAAGGAUGGGGCUGCGGCCGAUCAGGCUGUUGGUGAGGUAAUGGCUCACCAAACCUUUGACCGGUACGGGCCAUAAGAGUGGUAGCCCGGAGAUGGACACUGAGACAAGGGUCCAGGCCCUAAGGGGCGCAGCAACCGCGAAACCUCCACAAUGCACUCACGUGCGAUGGGGCUAUCUCGAGUGCCACCUGGUGAAGGUGGCUUUUCCUAGGUCUUCAAAGCCUUGGGAAUAAGAGGGGGGCAAGACUGGUGUCAGCCGCCGCGGUAACACCAGCCCCUCGAGUGGUGGGGAUGAUUAUUUGGCCUAAAGCGUCCGUAGCCGGCCGAGCAAGUCUUCCGUUAAAUCCAGCGUCUCAAGCGUUGGACUGCGGGAGAUACUACACGGCUAGAGAGUGGGAGAGGUCAGCGGUAUUCUGGGGGUAGGGGCGAAAUCCUUUGAUCCCCGGAGGACCACCAGUGGCGAAGGCUGCUGACUAGAACACGUCUGACGGUCAGGGACGAAAGCUGGGGUAGCGAACCGGAUUAGAUACCCGGGUAGUCCCAGCCGUAAACGAUGCAUGCUA
rnacentral:rRNA from 1 species